ACGCCGUCGCGCGGCGUCCGUGCUCCCGAUCCAUGCGGGGCAAGUGAGCGGGGGUGGUGCCGUGUCGGCGCAGCACCACCCCCGCGAC
rnacentral:ncRNA from 1 species